rnacentral:rRNA from 1 species
UACGUAGGUGGCAAGCGUUGUCCGGAUUUAUUGGGUUUAAAGGGUGCGUAGGCGGUUUUAUAAGUCAGUGGUGAAAUACAAUAGCUUAACUAUUGAGGUGCCAUUGAUACUGUAAGACUUGAGUACAGACGAGGUAGGCGGAAUUGACGGUGUAGCGGUGAAAUGCGUAGAUAUCGGGAGGAACACCAGUGGCGAAGGCGGCAUCCUGGCCCUGUCCUGACGCUCAGGGGCGAAAGCGUGGGGAGCAAACCGGAUUAG